UGGCUUUGAAAUAUCUUGUUGUGAGUCAGCUGUGUGGUAGCCUACUUUAAAAAUAUAAUCACUGUUUUGCUUGAUUUGCUCAAUUCUAUGAUGGCUA